rnacentral:rRNA from 1 species
GACGAACGCUGGCGGCGUGCCUAAUACAUGCAAGUAGAACGCUGAAGGAGGAGCUUGCUCUUCUGGAUGAGUUGCGAACGGGUGAGUAACGCGUAGGUAACCUGCCUGGUAGCGGGGGAUAACUAUUGGAAACGAUAGCUAAUACCGCAUAAAAUUGAUUAUUGCAUGAUAGUCAAUUAAAAGGUGCAAUUGCAUCACUACCAGAUGGACCUGCGUUGUAUUAGCUAGUUGGUGAGGUAACGGCUCACCAAGGCAACGAUACAUAGCCGACCUGAGAGGGUGAUCAGCCGCACUGGGACUGUGACACGGCCCAGACUGCUACGGGAGGCAGCAGUAGGGAAUCUUCGGCAAUGGACGGAAGUCUGACCGAGCAGCGCCGCGUGAGUGAAGAAGGUUGUCGGAUCGUAAAGCUCUGUUGUAAGGGAAGAACGAGUGUGAGGGUGGAAAGUUCACACUGUGACGGUAUCUUACCAGAAAGGGACGGCUAACUACGUG